rnacentral:rRNA from 11 species
GUCGCAGCCUAAAAUACACUAAAAGCACCAGAUCCUUGUCUGAUCUUGGAAGAUAAGCAGAACUAGCGCUAGCUAAUACUUGGAAGGAUGAUUGCAAAGGAAUACCAGGUGCUGUAGACC